AAUGCUGGACUAUCACACGCAAUAAAGUCCCGUAGCCAAGGCAUAUGAUUAUUAUAAUAAUUUAAUAAUGAAAUAUUUUCUAUAAUAAAUAAUAUAAUAAUUUCGUAAUUCAAAAUAAAAUAUGAAUACUCUGAUAAUCCCGGGUUGCUAUGGUCACGCAGGUUUGUUUACGCAUUAAACUCGUGGCCACGAGACAAACAUGUUGUUCCCUCAACAUAACAUCUCGAGGCCACGACAAAACUAAGUGAAGCGACCAUGUCCUCUAACGGGCAACGUAAUCAACAAUCAAAUCCAGCUGUGUUAGCGACGUACGAAGAACGGGUCCCAGCUCUUUGAUUAACUCCUGGUUCAUGCUGAAGUUAAUUCUACCCAAAAGUCGCCAGUGUGUGGUGUGGCGGUUCUGAGCGACCUGGUGCCCGUCAGAGGACAGUAUUACUGGGAGAUCGAGGUGGACGAGAGCGCAGAGUUCCUGGUGGGCGUGGCGUAUGAGGACACGCAGCGCAACCCGUACCUGUGCGGGAACAACACGUCCUGGUGCACGGGACACAUCCUCACGCCGUCCAGGCACAAAUACCAGUUCCUGCACAACGGCUGGACAUCCGCAUCACAGUGCAGCCGCUGCGGAUCUGUGUUUCUGGAUUAUUCCCGUGGGAUCCUCUCUUUCUACAUCGCAGCGGCAGCACCUCUACACCUUCAGCUGUCACUUCCUGCACUACGUUCAGCCCUGUUUCGCGCUGGAUAACCCUGGAAGGACCACACCAGCGUACAUCACGAUACCGUGACACGCUGCUGAAACACAGUAUGAGCAGAUCUGGGCUGAUUCUAGAGCUGAAUAAACGAGACGGCAGCA